AGUGAACGCUGGCGGCGUGCUUAACACAUGCAAGUCGAGGGGAAACGACGUUGAACGCUUGCUUUUGAUGGGCGUCGACCGGCGCACGGGUGAGUAACGCGUAUCCAACCUGCCCACCACUUGGGGACAACCUUGCGAAAGUAAGACUAAUACCCAAUGACGUCUCUAGCAGACAUCUGAAAGAGAUUAAAGAUUUAUCGGUGAUGGCUGGGGAUGCGUCUGAUUAGCUUGUUGGCGGGGUAACGGCCCACCAAGGCGACGAUCAGUAGGGGUUCUGAGAGGAAGGUCCCCCACAUUGGAACUGAGACACGGUCCAAACUCCUACGGGAGGCAGGAGGGAGGAAUGUUGGUCAAUGGACGAGAGUCUGAACCAGCCAAGUAGCGUGCAGGAUGACGGCCCUAUGGGUUGUAAACUGCUUUUGUAAGGGAAUAAAGUGAGAGUCGUGACUCUUUUUGCAUGUACCUUAUGAAUAAGGACCGGCUAAUUCCGUGCCAGCCGCCGCAGUAA
rnacentral:rRNA from 1 species